UUCCAGCAAGUCUCUGUCCACAAGAAGCAGCUUGUCAUCCAAUCUUCUAACUUCUUUGACCAAGCCAGUAAGGAGGGUCAAAGCUUCUGCGCACUCCUUAUUUUCCAAAAGAAGCACCUCAACCCACUGCCUCGGUAAGUAUUAACCUAAAAGAAUGGCCUCAACUGAGUGAGAAGGCUGCACAGAUCCUCUGCCCUAUUCUCUUGCCUGAGAAGAUCAGAGAGGUUAGUGAUGGCUUGCUCUUUAAUGCGCAGAGCUUCUGGAGAUGAAGAGGGGUUCUCAAGCACACGAUGAAGAAUAGAGAUAGCCUCAGAUGGGUUUUUAGCCCCCAGUGCCUGUGCAAUUGUCUCUCUUGUUGCGGGGAGAUGUGAGGAAGACAUUUUUAGUCCUUCCACAAACUUCUGAAAGAACAAUUUCAUUAACUAAGAGAAAAACACAAAACUAUACAGCUUUGAAUUACUAUCAAUUUGAGGGGGGAAAAUUAUCCCACUGCUUUAGCUAUGCUUUUCCAUUUAAGCAAAACAUGAAUGUCUUCACUUUAUUGAAA